GCUCAGACUCAUGUCCAUGGAGUCAGCGAUGCCCUCCAACCAUCUCGUCCUCUGUCGCCCCCUUCUCCUCUUGGACGUGACUUUUUGGCCCCCGCUGAGCCCACCAAAGUUGGAUUAAGUGUUGGGUCUUCAGCGAGAGGCCAGAUUGUCUCCGCCCCGCAGAAGCCGCAUCGCAGACGGCGCUCUGCCUGCGUCUGCAGUAUCGCGCCAGCUCCCCGUGUGCGCACACGUGAUUGCAAAUCUCGAUGGAGCUGCUGUCACAGGCUGAUUCCAGGUUUCUUGCUCUCCCGCGUUUCCGUCCGCCGCCCUUGGGUCUUGCAUGCCAUCCUUGCCAGAUCCACGGUCAGCCCGUGACUGGGCCCGGGAACGUCUCCAUCACUUGCCCUCUCUGCUCCACCUCCACCUUUGGGGCCAGCUGCAGCCUCUCGCCUUCCAUGGAGUCUGUCCAUCUCCCCGUAUCUGCAUUGCGACCUGUGGACCCCAGAGCUCGGCGUGUCCCGCCCUCAGCGUCGAGCUGAUGGCCUCUGUGUCGCUGCUUACAGAAUCUUUGCCUUCAGGGGGUGGUUGUUUGCCUUUCGUCACUGUGGAGCUAUUUGUAUCCUCAACACGUUCGCUAAUUUCCAGAAGAGCCUUCAGGGUGUGAGACUUAUUCAUCUCUGUUUAAGUCCAGCAGC